AUGGCGUAGCUAGGUUGCUCUAGGCGCCGGAUGUAGGUUUGUGUUAUCCCGAUUUCGGAUGAACUAGAGAUAGAGGAACAGAGAAAAUGACCCUGAGGGAAGAUUCUGAUCCAGAAUAUGAAACAUUCUAUAAGAAAAUGCCUAAAUUCUUCAAAAAGAACCCGCAUGUGUUCAGAGAGCCACCCCUCCUCAGCAUUAGUCCCCUUGCUUCAGAGAAGCAUCCCAUCACCCUCAGCGUGAAGGGAGGAGCCCUGUAGUCUGAAGCUAAACACCAUGAUUCAGGAAUG